rnacentral:rRNA from 1 species
GAUGAACGCUAGCUACAGGCUUAACACAUGCAAGUCGCAGGGUAACAUGAGGAAAGCUUGCUUUCCUUGNAUGACGACUGGCGCACGGGUGAGUAACGCGUAUCCAACCUUCCCAUAACUACGGGAUAACCCGUUGAAAGACGGCCUAAUACCGUAUGAUAUCGUUUGCUGACAUCAAAUAACGAUUAAAGGUUUAGCGGUUAUGGAUGGGGAUGCGUCUGAUUAGCUUGUUGGCGGGGUAACGGCCCACCAAGGCGACGAUCAGUAGGGGUUCUGAGAGGAAGGUCCCCCACAUUGGAACUGAGACACGGUCCAAACUCCUACGGGAGGCAGCAGUGAGGAAUAUUGGUCAAUGGGCGAGAGCCUGAACCAGCCAAGUAGCGUGCAGGAUGACGGCCCUAUGGGUUGUAAACUGCUUUUAUGCGGGGAUAAAG